ensembl:lincRNA
AUGUUUCCCAAGCCAACAAAGAUCUCCCCUUCCUGUCUCAGUGCCCUUUUGCCAUGUGACCCUGAAGUUCCUCUUACCAAGAGGUGGAGUCUACUUCUACAUCUGGGCUGGUCUUAUGGCUGCUUUGACAUAUAUAAUGCCGUGGAAGUGACUGUUCUGAGCCCCAGCCUCAGGAAGUCUUGCACACUUUCAUUCACUCGCCAACCUGCCUCGGCCACCAUAGGAAUAAGCCCAGGCUAGCCACCGAAGAACUGAAUUGAUCCAGCUACAUUCAAUCAGUUACCAGCCCAGAAAUGCCGAACGGAAUAAGACUCCUCUUGGUCACAGUAAUAAUAAGGUAUUUUUCUGUUUUCUUUCUCUUCCCCACCCCACAACCCUAUAUCCCUAUAAAGGUAUACUGCCAUCACUUUCCAAUAAAUACCAGUAUCCAAACUUUUUGUCUCACUAUUUGAUUCCAGAGAAAUCAACCUAAAUCAACUACUAACCUUUCUGUUUUAUUGUAUCCUUGUUGCUUCAGCAUACAGUUACUUUUUCAGGAACUUUGAUUCCAUAUGGAAGCCUAGUCUUGUAAAGAUGUCUCCAACUAAUCAAAGAGUUGUAUCUGAUCCAGUGGAUGACAAGACCAAUCACAGAAUGCGGUAUACUACCUUUAGGUUUUCUUGGAUAUUUUCAUCAUGGUUCCAUUCUCUGAGUACAUCAGGAUGGGGUUAACUUGCAAUCAAUCUUGGGUAGUUCCAUGCUUAUGCUAAAGAGCACCUGGAACCACGGUAUUGAUUCCUGGCUAAGACAGAAGUAAUAUGUAAUAGCUAGUGAUUUAUAACACGCAGUUAGAAGUCUGAAACUCCCCCCAAGCAUACUGUACCAGCCUUUCCAUGCUGCUUAUGGAAACUGACGGAUUGAUGGUUUACACCUGUUGACCUGUUCACAAAGCCUGCUUUUAACACCCUGGGCUGUGGUAUAGGUAUAAAAUGCUCCUAGGUAAGCCUGAUUCUUGGCUUCCCUGAGACCAUGGUGUCACAUGUGUAUCUUGGUGGUUCAUGAUCUGAAGUCAAAGGGCAUCCAGCGUGAUGGAGAAAAGGCCCUAAGAGCCACACCUAGAAGUCUUGGUCCCUUCCAAUGUUUGCUGUGCUUGCAUUCUCCUGCUGUACUUUUUCCUUUGUUUUAUUAUAGCUGUACAUGUGUAAUCUACCAGGCCUGUUUUCUGAUGAUCAAAGGCUUUUGAGAAGGGUUUGGGGGUAGAGAAAGGAAGGGUUCUCACAACACCCAAUUUUAGAACCCCUCUAGAAAGUGGUAAGUACUGGAAAGCAGUGUUCUGUACCUUGCUGAAGCUCUUAAAACACAGUUUGACUGAAUUAUCACAAAAAGUCUUCUGAACCCAGGGUGUGAAGUUGGUCUAUGCUCCAACAGUGGCUGCUGGCUUCUUGAAAUCUUGGACCUGCCUGGCAAGGUCAAUGCACAAUUCUUUACCCCCUCUUCCCCUCCUCUAUGGCUUUGUACAUGCUCACUUGGGUCAAGACAUUAAGCCCUCACCUACGGAGAGCUUUCGAUUCUCUGGCAAACAUUGCUCAAAUUCUCAUAUUCUUGUCUUCUUGGAACACCAGUUUUUU